AGCGCAGGGGUGCGGGAGGCAGACCUGCAGAUGGCGGGACCACAGCAGGAGGACCCUGUGGAUGAAGGACGGGGCGUCCUGUGCUGGCCAAGGGCAUGGCGUGGGACCCUGCAAGCCUGGGGCCGGGGGCAGCUGCCUCUUCCAUGGGGGAGGGUCCUUGUGGGUAUGAACCUGGGGUCCCUAGGGAAGAACCGUGAAGCCAGAGCUGUACUCCACAUGUGUCGGGCACGGAGAGCCCUGUGGGGACACAGGGUUUCCCUUAGACCAAGGCCACCCGGCCACCCAGGCAUGGGGCUCUGAGGGGCAGGGCAAGGUCUGACCGUGGCCAAGCCCUGCAGCAGCCUCCUGGAGCAGUGGCCGCUCUUCAAGGGUUCUGGUCCCGCCCUGAGACAGAGCCACCCCCUUCCCUGUCAUGUGCAGAUGGCUUCCGGAAAGUCGUCCACAUCGAGCAGGGCGGCCUGGUCAAGCCAGAGAGAGACGACACGGAGUUCCAGCACCCAUGCUUCCUGCGUGGCCAGGAGCAGCUCCUUGAGAACAUCAAGAGGAAAGUGACCAGUGUGUCCACCCUGAAGAGUGAAGACAUAAAGAUCCGCCAGGACAGCGUCACCAAGCUGCUGACAGACGUGCAGCUGAUGAAGGGGAAGCAGGAGUGCAUGGACUCCAAGCUCCUGGCCAUGAAGCAGUAGGUCCCACACCAGCACUGUGGGCCGCAGUGGGUCCUGGUGCCCACCAGGAGGCCCCGGGUGCUGUGGGGGCAGGGCCCUGACCGGGGCCAGAUGCUCAGCUCCACCCUCCCGCUCCACACAGAUCUACCCUAGGCGUCUGCCCCAGCCCCGCCGCCCGUGGCUGCUGCAACAGCUCUGGGGCCAGCCGUUUUCCACGUGCAGAAGAGGGUUGGGAGGGUCCCCUGCUCUGCACAUCCCCAGCGCCCUCUGAGCCAUCGGCUUCUGCCUGGCUCUGAGCUUGGUGGGACCAACCAGCCUACUUUUGAGGACAAGCCCUGCACAGCAGACCCAUCCCACCUGCCUCCGGCCUGGGGUCAGACCCAUCUCAGGCCCUUCCUGGAACCUCUGCCCCACACUUGCCUGGGCCCAUGGAGCUAGCCCCCCGGCCCCUCCUCACUGGGACCCUGCGGCUCUGGGGAAGCCUUAGCAGGAGCCUAACACACGGUGGCACCUGAGAAACUGAGGCAAGCCCACCUCGGAAGGCCAGCUCAGGUCUCACGUCCACUUUGGGGCUCCAGGCAUGCGGGAACCCCAAUGCCAGUACGGCGUCCUCGGCUCCGUGCACCAGGCGCUCUUGACCCCCACGUCACGGAGGAGGCCUUGGCCUCAGACUCUCCUGCAUGGGGUCCAGCAGGAGCCACCGGUUUUGUGAUUCCUGGAGUCCGGCCACAUGGACCUGGCCUACCAAGAAGACUCAGGCUUGACAGUGCCCAGCCUCCCAGAGCAGCCUUCCCUACCCCGUGGGGCCACCUCUGAGCCACUUCCAGGCCUGGCGAGGGCCCUGAGCACCUACAGGACAUGGGACAGCCAGUGUCGCGGCCUGAAGAACUGUCCUCCCUUAACCUGGCUUCUCAGGCCUUGGAAGGGCGGCUCAAGGGUCUGCUCCUGGCCUGUGUCCAAGGCAGCCCUCCAGGUGUUGGCUAGGAUGGAUGCCAGGAUCCGGGUGCACCUGGCUCGCAUGGAUCCAUCCCCAACACCCUACCUGACGCCGGGUGUCCCUGGCAGGGAGGGGCAGUGGGACCAGCAAGCCCUGGCCCUGGCCUCCAGUCCUUCCACACACAAGUUCUUAUCCUGGGGUGGGCCAGGCCAGACAUGGUCACACUUACCCCUGCUCCUGCCUGGGGGACAGGGAGGGUCUGUGGGGCUCCCUCAGCCCUGGGGCUCAUGGGAUUGGGCCCCACUGACCCAGCCUGGUCUGUUGCAGUGAGAAUGAGGCUCUGUGGCGGGAGGUGGCCAGCCUUCGGCAGAAGCAUGCCCAGCAACAGAAAGUCGUCAACAAGGUGGGGGCAGGGCCAGAGGGCCGGCGGGGGCCCCACAAGGGCCAGGGUGACUGUGUCCUUUCUCCCCACAGCUCAUUCAGUUCCUGAUCUCACUGGUGCAGUCAAACCGGAUCCUGGGGGUGAAGAGAAAGAUCCCCCUGAUGCUGAACGACAGUAGCUCAGCACAUUCCAUGCCCAAGUACGGCCGGCAGUUCUCCCUGGAGCACGUCCAUGGCUCGGGCCCCUACUCGGCCCCCUCCCCGGCCUACAGCAGCUCCAGCCUCUACGCCCCCGAUGCUGUGGCCAGCUCUGGACCCAUCAUCUCCGACAUCACCGAGCUGGCUCCUGCCAGCCCCGUGGCCUCCCCUGGCGGGAGCAUAGACGAGAGGCCCCUGUCCAGCAGCCCCCUGGUGCGUGUCAAGGAGGAGCCCCCCAGCCCGCCUCAGAGCCCCCGGGUAGAGGAGGCGAGUCCCGGGCGCCCAUCUUCCGUGGACACCCUUUUGUCCCCGACCGCCCUCAUUGACUCCAUCCUGCGGGAGAGUGAACCUGCCCCCGCCUCCGCCACAGCCCUCACGGAUGCCAGGGGCCACACGGACACCGAGGGCCGGCCUCCCUCACCCCCGCCCACCUCCACCCCUGAAAAGUGCCUCAGCGUAGCCUGCCUGGACAAGAAUGAGCUCAGUGACCACUUGGAUGCUAUGGACUCCAACCUGGACAACCUGCAGACCAUGCUGAGCAGCCACGGCUUCAGCGUGGACACCAGUGCCCUGCUGGACGUGAGUCGAGCCCCGCCUCCCCGCCCUGCCCCGCCCCGCCCCCGGGUGCUGUUCUGACUUCCCUCCCUCCUCCGCAGCUGUUCAGCCCCUCGGUGACCGUGCCCGACAUGAGCCUGCCUGACCUUGACAGCAGCCUGGCCAGUGUGCGUAGGCGGGCGGGGGGUGAGGGGGAAUGAGACCAGCAGGAGUGCUCACAAUACCAUCUCCUCCACCCCACAGAUCCAAGAGCUCCUGUCUCCCCAGGAGCCCCCCAGGCCUCCCGAGGCAGAGAACAGCAGCCCGGAUUCAGGUGAGCCAAGUCCCACCAGCCCCAUCUCUGCCCCCAACCCCCACUGCCUUGACACCCCCACCCCCACAGGGAAGCAGCUGGUACACUACACAGCGCAGCCGCUGUUCCUGCUGGACCCCGGCUCCGUGGACACCGGGAGCAACGACCUGCCGGUGCUGUUUGAGCUGGGAGAGGGCUCCUACUUCUCUGAAGGGGACAGCUUCGCAGAGGACCCCACCAUCUCCCUGCUGACAGGCUCGGAGCCUCCCAAAGCCAAGGACCCCACUGUCUCCUAGAGGCCCUGGAGGAGCUGGGCCAGCCAUGGCCUGCCCACCCCCACCCCAGUGCAGGGCUGGUCUUGGGGAGGCAGGGCAGCCUCGCGGUCUUGGGCACUGGUGGGUCGGCCGCCAUAGCCCCAGUAGGACAAACGGGCUCGGGUCUGGGCAGCACUUCUGGUCAGGAGGGUCACCCCGGCCUGCCAGUCUGCCUUCCCCCAACCCCGUGUCCUGUGGUUUGGUUGGGGCUUCACAGCCACACCUGGACUGACCCUGCAGGUUGUUCAUAGUCAGAAUUGUAUUUUGGAUUUUUACACAACUGUCCUGUUCCCCGCUCCAUAGAGAUAUACAAAUAUAUACACACAGUGGAUGGAUGGACAAGACAGGCAGAGAUCUAUAAACAGACAGGCUCUAUG
rnacentral:sRNA from 1 species